rnacentral:misc_RNA from 1 species
GAUGAAGAACGCAGCGAAAUGCGAUAAGUAAUGUGAAUCGCAGAAUUCAGUGAAUCAUCGAAUCUUUGAACGCACAUUGCGCCCGCCAGUAUUCUGGCGGGCAUGCCUGUUCGAGCGUCAUUACAACCCUCAGGCCCCCGGGCCUGGCGUUGGGGAUCGGCGGAAGCCCCCUGCGGGCACAACGCCGUCCCCCAAAUACAGUGGCGGUCCCGCCGCAGCUUCCAUUGCGUAGUAGCUAACACCUCGCAACUGGAGAGCGGCGCGGCCACGCCGUAAAACACCCAACUUCUGAAUGUUGACCUCGAAUCAGGUAGGAAUACCCGCUGAACUUAAGCAUAUCAAUAAGCGGAGGA